rnacentral:rRNA from 1 species
UCUCUCUGAAUCUGCGAACGGCUCCGCAAACCAGUUGUAAACCAUAACAGGCAUGCCCGGGUCCCCCGCAAGGGGGGCUUGGGAGAUAAGGAUAACCCUGGUAAUUCUGAGGCUAAUACUAGACUGUAGAACCUGGUGGCUUUCGGGCCGUUGGGGGACGUGUGUCUAAGUCGCAGGUUGCCGGGAAAGGAUGCACGUUCAGUCCGCGUUAUAAAGGAAAGGCUAAGCUUCGGCGAGGCCUGCCCCAGCGGCUCCUGGGUGGUGCUUCUGACCUAUCAACUAGAUGGCAGCGUAACGUACAUGCCAUGGUUACAACGGGUACAGAGGAUUAGGGUUCGAUCCUGGAGAGUGGGCCUGAGAGAUU